rnacentral:rRNA from 1 species
AUGUCUUCCUGGGCUUAAAUAGGAAGUUUAACCUGCUCACUGAAGGAAAUUAAAGAGCUGCAGUAUUUUGACUGUACAAAGGUAGCACAAUCAUUAGUCUUUUAAUUGAGGACUGGUAUGAAAGGUUGAACAAAAUUUUAUUAUUUUAAAUCUAAAAAAUUGAAUUUUUCUUUUGUGUUAAAAGACAUAAAUUGAAGUAAAAGACAAGAAGACCCUUUAAACUUUAUAUGUUUUGUAUUUUAUUAUUAUUUUUAAUUAAGUAAAAAUAUUUGAUGUGUUUAACUGGGGCGGUUGAUAUAAUUUAUCUAUAUUAAUAAUAAAUUUUACAGAGAGAUAAAAAGAUGAGCCUUAAAGAAGGCUGAAGAGAAAAGUUACUGAAGGGAUAACAGCGUAAUAUUUUUGAGAGUUCUGAUUGAUUAAGAUGUUUGCGA